rnacentral:rRNA from 1 species
AUGAACGCUGGCGGCGUGCCUAAUACCUGCAAGUCGAGCGAACAGACGAGGAGCUUGCUCCUCUGACGUUAGCGGCGGACGGGUGAGUAACACGUGGAUAACCUACCUAUAAGACUGGGAUAACUUCGGGAAACCGGAGCUAAUACCGGAUAAUAUAUUGAACCGCAUGGUUCAAUAGUGAAAGACGGUUUUGCUGUCACUUAUAGAUGGAUCCGCGCCGCAUUAGCUAGUUGGUAAGGUAACGGCUUACCAAGGCAACGAUGCGUAGCCGACCUGAGAGGGGGAUCGGCCACACGGGAACUGAGACACGGUCCAGACUCCUACGGGAGGCAGCAGUAGGGAAUCUUCCGCAAUGGGCGAAAGCCUGACGGAGCAACGCCGCGUGAGUGAUGAAGGUCUUCGGAUCGUAAAACUCUGUUAUUAGGGAAGAACAAAUGUGUAAGUAACUAUGCACGUCUUGACGGUACCUAAGCAGAAAGCCACGGCUAACUACGU